AACCGUGGAAUCGCUCGGUAACCCACAAGUCUUGAGCUCGGCAGGGCCCGUCGGAACGAUUGGUGGAGCGGUGAAAUGCGUAGAUAUCAAUCGGAACGCCAAAGACGAAGGUAGACGGCUGGGCCGACGCUGACGCUCAGGCACGAAAGCAUGGGUAGCGAACGGGAUUAGAUACCCCGGUAGUCCAUGCCCUAAACGAUGUGUACUAGAUCGGGGAGGUUUUGACGCCAUCCCGGUCGUCGUGAAAACACUAAGUACACCGCCUGGGGAGUACGGUCGCAAGGCUAAAACUCAAAGGAAUUGACGGGGGCUCACACAAGCGGUGGAGCAUGUGGCUUAAUUCGAGGCAACGCGAAGAACCUUAUCCUGGGUUUGACAUGGACGGAUUAGGCUCCCGAAAGGGAGUUCGACGCUCUCACGAGUGGAACGUUCACAGGUGCUGCAUGGCUGUCGUCAGCUCGUGCUGUGAAGUGUCGGGUUAAGUCCCUUAACGAGCGAAACCCCUGCCGUUAGUUGCUAACAGAUCAUGCUGAGGACUCUAACGGGACUGCCGGUGUCAAACCGGAGGAAGGUGGGGAUGACGUCAAGUCCUCAUGGCCUUUAUGCCCAGGGCUGCACACGUGCUACAAUGGCAUGGACAGAGCGAAGCAAGACCGCAAGGUGGAGCAAAUCGCACAAACCAUGCCCCAGUUCGGAUUGCAGUCUGCAACUCGACUGCAUGAAGUCGGAAUCGCUAGUAAUCGCGUAUCAGCUACGACGCGGUGAAUAUGUUCCUGAGCCUUGUACACACCGCCCGUCAAGUCAUGGGAGCCGGGAGUACCCAAAGUGGCAGCGACUCAGCUGUCCC
rnacentral:rRNA from 1 species